ensembl:lncRNA
CGAGCUUUAGCCAACAGCUCUCUGCUGCCCCACUGAGACUGGCAACCUGUUAUAGUUGGAGGUUAUACGUGACGGUAUAGUAGGCCUAUAUAGCCUCCAGAGGGUUGCCCAACAGUGCUGACCCCUGCGCCACUGAGACAGGGACGAUGACCAAUGAUCACAAGUUGUACAUGACAUUACAAUUCCCAUGACAACCAAAGUUUCACAAGGACAUGAGGUUUCAACGGACACAAACCCCUACUCUCCUCUCUCUUUCUGAGAUGCGCUAAAGAGACAGCGGGUAUGAUGUUCUCGGGACGGGAGUCAUACUUGAGCUUACAAAUCACAUAAAAAUAAGAAGUUCCCACGGGGACUCGCCUGCCCCGGUCGGUUCAGAGGUCACACUGGACAUUACCAUUCAAGAUCUCAACCGGUAGGUUUGGUUGCCAAGGAGACGGCCCCUCACCAGAACUUGAACCCAGACCCAACCCCCUGGGGUGUGGGAGGCCUGCAGCGCUAAGUCGGGGGUCAUACUUAACGUAAAGAUUCAUGCGUCAUUGUUACAUCUCCAAAACCUCAUCACCACAUCGUGGCUUCAUGGAGCCGGCCUCCCUUGUAUUUGAACCCCAGUCUACAAAGCAGUGGUGCAGUGUACUGUACUCUGCUUAAGAGAGAGUGGAGAGAGCUGUGAGCUAACCCCUUGGAGACCGGGGUUCAAGUCCGGUUGAUGUCCUCGGUUGGAUGACUCUUAUUUCUAUUUCAUGCAAAUUAUAAAGUAAAGUAUAACCAUUGUGAUGACUUUAUUCGGUGUCUUGAUGGUGCAUUGAUAAGUUCGGAGGUUAACACUCUAAACAGCUCAGGUUCGGAUCCCCGCAAAAACGUUAACAGGGGUACUACUGUCGUUUUUUAUUGGUCAACAUGGAAAAAACAUGAGGGGCAACUGUCGUUUUUUAUCGGCCGUCAUGAAAUAAACAUAAGGGGUAACACUGUCGAUAUUUAUCAAAUAAAACAUAGGGGGUAACACUGUUGUUUUUAUUGGUCGUCAUGAAAAAAAAAUAUGGGGGGUAACACAGUUGUUUUUUAUUGGUCGUCAUGAAAAAAAACUUAGGGGCGUAACACUGUUGUUUUUGUCAAAUAAAAUAUAAGGGGUAACACUGUUGUUUUUUAUUGGUCGUCAUGAAAAAAACCAUAAGGGGUAACACUGUUGUUUUUUAAUGGUCGUCAUGAAAAAAAACAUAAGGGGUAACAC